rnacentral:rRNA from 1 species
CCGGUGGCUCCCACGACCACGAAUACCCCGUGGCCCUGUGCCGUGUUGUCUGAUCGAAGCCCCGUCUCUCUCUGCUCUGCUCUGUCUCCUCUGCUCAGCUCACCCCCUUUCCCCAGAUCCGACGCGAAUGGCCUCCUAUGACGGCGAGGACGACUCCGGCCGGCGGCGCCCGCCGCCGCAGCAGCACCGCCCGUCCGGCGGGGGCAGCGGCGACCUCGCCGCCAGCGCCAAGCUGGUGGCGGAGGCGGCCAAGGCGGCGCUCCAGGACCACAACCUGGGGAAGGUCGACAAGGGCCGCACCGCCGAGGCCGCCGCCGACCUGCUCCACGCGGCCUCCCUCUACGGCAAGCUCGAGGGCAAGCCCGUCGGCGGCUACCUCAACAAGGCCGAGGACUACCUCCACAAGUUCGGCGCCAAGGAGGGGGGCAGCGGAGGCGGCAAGCACCAGCCCAGUGGUCACGGGGGUUCAGGCGGCAGGUACGAGGAGGAGGAUGAGUACAGGAAGAAGCCUACUAGUGGUGGUGGGAGGUACGAACAGGAUGAUGAUGAGUACAAGAAGAAGCCCAGCGGUGAUGGGAGGUAUGAAGAGGAUGAUGAGUACAGGAAGAAGCCUACUGGUGGUGGUGGUGACUACGGAGGUGGAAGGUAUGAGGAAGAAGAUGAGUACAAGAAGAAGCCUAGCAGUGGUGGCUAUGGUGGGGGGAGGUAUGAGCAAGAAGAUGACUUCAAGAGGCCUCCUAGUGGUGGUGGUGGUGGCGGCUAUGGUGGGGGAAGGUAUGAAGACGAUGAUGAGUACAAGAAGAAGCCUAGUGCUGGUGGAUAUGGAGGUGGAGGAGGGAGAUACGAAGAUGAGUACAAGAAGAAGCCAACCGGUGGCCAUGGUGGAGGGAGGUAUGAGGAAGAUGAUGAGUACAAGAGGCCUAGUGGUGGAAGCCAUGGAGGGAGGUAUGAAGAAGAGGACUACAAGAAGAAGCCUAGUGGUGGAGGAAGGUAUGAAGAAGAGGACUACAAGAAGAAGCCUAGUGGUGGAGGAAGGUAUGAAGAAGAUGACUACAAGAAGAAGCCUAGUGGUGGAAGCCAUGGAGGGAAGGAUGAGUCAGAAGGCGGUGGCAUUGGAGACUACAUUAAACUUGCACAAGGUUUCAUGAAGAAGCAGGAUGACGAGGGUGGGCACAAGAAGACUAGUGGACAUGGAGGAGGAGGGUAUGGAAAGGAGGAAAAUGAAGAGGACAGCGGCAAGAAGAAACAUGGUGGUCGCCCUGAGAGUGGAAAAGACGAGUCGGAGGGCAGUGGCAUGGCAGAUUACCUGAAACUUGCACAGGGUUUCAUGAAGAAGGAUGGUGAAGGGGGAAGUGGAGCUGGUAUGGGGGACUACUUAAAGCUUGCAGAGGGGUUCAUGAAGAAGCGUUGAUUUAUAACUGAUCUUCGCUACCAUUGCGAUUGAUGAAGGACUUUGUGUUUGGUUAGUCCCUUGUCUUGUUUAACAUCUGUAUGUUGUGGGAUUUCCUAUGAUUUCCGCCGACAAAGCUGUCUUUGCGCUGUGUGCAAUGUACUGAAUGCCCAAGGUGCUACUUUCGAUUUCAGGAGAAUAAAAGAUUGGAUGAAUAAACGUGUGUUAUUCACGCUUUGUAAAUAGUUUUGACUUGAAAUAAUUAUUGUAGUGUUAUCAUAAUAGAAGUGUUGAAUAGAACUUGUGUCUUCUAAUGGCUAUUAUUUGAAUGUAGCUAUGCUGGUGAUCUAUCUUAGUAUCUUAUUAUACUGAACUGAACCCUAAUGCAAUGCUGUGCGUAUCUAAAACCCUUGGGCUAAAUCUGAAACAAAAAAAGGCACAUAUGAAGAUCAUGAUUAAUAUAUGUUGUAGCAUUAUGUUUGCUGGAUUCAGUUAAAGAGACACUCUGUUUCUUUUCAGCAAGUGUUUUGACUUUGCCCUGUGAAAUCGUCUCUAAGUGGGUUGGUUGAAAAACUGUUUUUAUCUGCAUCUUACUUUCCUGUUCCACCUACUGGCUCUGAUCUUGUAGCUAAACU